AACGCUGUCGGCGUGCUUAACACAUGCAAGUCGAACGGUGAACACGGAGCUUGCUCUGUGGGAUCAUUGGCGAACGGGUGAGUAACACGUGAGCAACCUGCCCCCUGACUCUGGGAUAAGCGCUGGAAACGGCGUCUAAUACUGGAUAUGUGACGUGACCGCAUGGUCUGCGUUUGGAAAGAUUUUUCGGUUGGGGAUGGGCUCGCGGCCUAUCAGCUUGUUGGUGAGGUAAUGGCUCACCAAGGCGUCGACGGGUAGCCGGCCUGAGAGGGUGACCGGCCACACUGGGACUGAGACACGGCCCAGACUCCUACGGGAGGCAGCAGUGGGGAAUAUUGCACAAUGGGCGGAAGCCUGAUGCAGCAACGCCGCGUGAGGGAUGACGGCCUUCGGGUUGUAACCUCUUUUAGCAGGAAGAAGCGAAAGGCGAC
rnacentral:rRNA from 1 species